AGAGUUUGAUCCUGGCUCAGAACGAACGCUGGCGGCGUGCCUAACACAUGCAAGUCGAACGGAGAUAAGGGGCUUGCUCCUUAUUUCAGUGGCGCACGGGUGAGUAACGCGUGGAUAAUCUACCUUGGAAUCUGGGAUAACAUCUCGAAAGGGGUGCUAAUACCGGAUAAGACCACGAGCUCUUCGGAGUUUGCGGUAAAAGGGGGCCUCUGUAUAUGCUUCUGUUUCAAGAUGAGUCCGCGUACCAUUAGCUAGUUGGCAGGGUAAUGGCCUACCAAGGCGACGAUGGUUAGCUGGUCUGAGAGGAUGAUCAGCCACACUGGAACUGAGACACGGUCCAGACUCCUACGGGAGGCAGCAGUGGGGAAUUUUGCGCAAUGGGGGAAACCCUGACGCAGCAACGCCGCGUGAGUGAUGAAGGCCUUCGGGUCGUAAAGCUCUGUCAGAGGGAAAGAAGUGUGGGAGGGUUAAUACCCCUUUCACUUGACGGUACCCUCAAAGGAAGCACCGGCUAACUCCGUGCCAGCAGCCGCGGUAAUA
rnacentral:rRNA from 1 species